AUGAACGCUGGCGGCGUGCUCAACACAUGCAAGUCGAACGGUGAAGGCGGAGCUUGCUCUGCUGGAUCAGUGGCGAACGGGUGAGUAACACGUGAGCAAUCUGCCCCUGACUCUGGGAUAAGCGCUGGAAACGGCGUCUAAUACUGGAUACGAACUGCGAAGGCAUCUUCAGCAGCUGGAAAGAAUUUCGGUCAGGGAUGAGCUCGCGGCCUAUCAGCUUGUUGGUGAGGUAAUGGCUCACCAAGGCGUCGACGGGUAGCCGGCCUGAGAGGGUGACCGGCCACACUGGGACUGAGACACGGCCCAGACUCCUACGGGAGGCAGCAGUGGGGAAUAUUGCACAAUGGGCGAAAGCCUGAUGCAGCAACGCCGCGUGAGGGACGACGGCCUUCGGGUUGUAAACCUCUUUUAGCAGGGAAGAAGCGAAAGUGACGGUACCUGCAGAAAAAGCGCCGGCUAACUACGUG
rnacentral:rRNA from 1 species